GGUGACAGCUCAGUGGUAGAGCACUUGCCUACCAUCCAAAAGACUCUGGGUUCAAUACCCAGCACUA
rnacentral:tRNA from 1 species